rnacentral:rRNA from 1 species
GUCCCGGUUUAAGCAUGUAGGCGGAGGUUCCAGGUAAAUCCGGUACCUUUUUAACGCUGAGGUGUGAUGACGAGGCACUACGGUGCUGAAGUAACAAAUGCCCUGCUUCCAGGAAAAGCCUCUAAGCAUCAGGUAACACGAAAUCGUACCCCAAACCGACACAGGUGGUCAGGUAGAGAAUACCAAGGCGCUUGAGAGAACUCGGGUGAAGGAACUAGGCAAAAUGGUGCCGUAACUUCGGGAGAAGGCACGCUGAUAUGUAGGUGAAGCGGUUUACCCGUGGAGCUGAAAUCAGUCGAAGAUACCAGCUGGCUGCAACUGUUUAUUAAAAACACAGCACUGUGCAAACACGAAAGUGGACGUAUACGGUGUGACGCCUGCCCGGUGCCGGAAGGUUAAUUGAUGGGGUUAUCCGUAAGGAGAAGC